rnacentral:rRNA from 1 species
UAGUAACUGCGAGUGAAGAGGGAAAAGCUCAAAUUUUGAAUCUGGCGGUCAUUUCGACCGUCCGAAUUGUAAUCUAGAGAAGCGUUUUCCGCGCUGGACCGUGUACAAGUCUCCUGGAAGGGAGCGUCAUAGAGGGUGAGAAUCCCGUCUUUGACACGGACUGCCAGUCGCUAUGUGAUGCGCUCUCGACGAGUCGAGUUGUUUGGGAAUGCAGCUCAAAAUGGGUGGUAAAUUCCAUCUAAAGCUAAAUACAGGCGAGAAACCGAUAGCGAACAAGUACCGUGAGGGAAAGAUGAAAAGAACUUUGAAAAGAGAGUUAAACAGUAUGUGAAAUUGCUGAAAGGGAAACACUUGAUGUCAGUCGCGUUGGCCAGGAAUCAACCUUGCUUAAUCGCUGGGAGCACUUCCUGGUCAACGGGUCAGCAUCAGUUUCGAUUCCGUCAUACAAUGGUAGAGGGAAUGUGCCAUCCACCAGGAUGUGUUAUAGCC